GCCAAGGUCGCAUAGCCUGGUAUUGCGCAGGAUUGCUAAUCCUGUCCCAUUGGGAUCGCGGGUUCAAAUCCCGUCCUUGGCG
rnacentral:tRNA from 1 species